rnacentral:rRNA from 1 species
UACGUAGGGUGCAAGCGUUGUCCGGAAUUAUUGGGCGUAAAGAGCUCGUAGGCGGCCUGUUGCGUCCGCUGUGAAAGCCCGGGGCUUAACCCCGGGUCGGCAGUGGAUACGGGCAGGCUAGAGGUAGGUAGGGGAGAAUGGAAUUCCCGGUGUAGCGGUGAAAUGCGCAGAUAUCAGGAGGAACACCGAUGGCGAAGGCAGAUCUCUGGGCCGUAACUGACGCUGAGGAGCGAAAGCGUGGGGAGCGAACAGG